CAGGUACUUAGUACUAUACAGUCACUAGCUAUCAGCUCUGGUCAGGUACUUAGUACUAUACAGUCACUAGCUAUCAGCUCUGGUCAGGUACUUAGUACUAUACAGUCACUAGCUAUCAGCUCUGGUCAGGUAGCUAGUAACUGUAUAGUACUAAGUAUCAGCUCUGGGCAGGUAGCUAGUAACUGUAUAGUACUAAGUAUCAGCUCUGGUCAGGUAGCUAGUAACUGUAUAGUACUAAGUAUCAGCUCUGGUCAGGUAGCCAGUAACUGAAUAGUACUAAGUAUCAGCUCUGGUCAGGUAGCUAGUAACUAUAUAGUACUAAGUAUCAGCUCUGGUCAGGUAGCUAGUAACUGAAUAGUACUAAGUAUCAGCUCUGGGCAGGUAGCUAGUAACUGUAUAGUACUAAGUAUCAGCUCUGGUCAGGUAGCUAGUAACUGUAUAGUACUAAGUAUCAGCUCUGGUCAGGUAGCUAGUAACUAUAUAGUACUAAGUAUCAGCUCUGGUCAGGUAGCCAGUAACUGUAUAGUACUAAGUAUCAGCUCUGGGCAGGUAGCUAGUAACUGUAUAGUACUAAGUAUCAGCUCUGGUCAGGUAGCUAGUAACUGUAUAGUACUAAGUAUCAGUUCUGGUCAGGUAGCUAGUAACUAUAUAGUACUAAGUAUCAGUUCUGGUCAGGUAGCUAGUAACUAUAUAGUACUAUGUAUCAGCUCUGGUCAGGUAGCUAGUAACUGUAUAGUACUAAGUAUCAGCUCUGGUCAGGUAGCUAGUAACUGUAUAGUACUAAGUAUCAGUUCUGGUCAGGUAGCUAGUAACUAUAUAGUACUAAGUAUCAGUUCUGGUCAGGUAGCUAGUAACUAUAUAGUACUAUGUAUCAGCUCUGGUCAGGUAGCUAGUAACUGAAUAGUACUAAGUAUCAGCUCUGGUCAGGUAGCUAGUAACUGUAUAGUACUAAGUAUCAGCUCUUGGUAGGUAGCUAGUAACUGUAUAGUACUAAGUAUCAGCUCUUGGUAGGUAGCUAGUAACUGUAUAGUAGUAAGUAUCAGCUCUGGGCAGGUAGCUAGUAACUGAAUAGUACUAAGUAUCAGCUCUGGUCAGGUAGCUAGUAACUGUAUAGUACUAUGUAUCAGCUCUGGUCAGGUAGCUAGUAACUGUAUAGUACUAAGUAUCAGCUCUUGGUAGGUAGCUAGUAACUGUAUAGUACUAAGUAUCAGCUCUGGGCAGGUAGCUAGUAACUGUAUAGUAGUAAGUAUCAGCUCUGGGCAGGUAGCUAGUAACUGUAUAGUAGUAAGUAUCAGCUCUGGUCAGGUAGCUAGUAACUGUAUAGUACUAUGUAUCAGCUCUGGUCAGGUAGCUAGUAACUGUAUAGUACUAAGUAUCAGCUCUUGGUAGGUAGCUAGUAACUGUAUAGUAGUAAGUAUCAGCUCUGGGCAGGUAGCUAGUAACUGUAUAGUACUAAGUAUCAGCUCUGGGCAGGUAGCUAGUAACUGUAUAGUAGUAAGUAUCAGCUCUGGGCAGGUAGCUAGUAACUGUAUAGUACUAAGUAUCAGCUCUGGGCACGUAGCUAGUAACUGUAUAGUACUAAGUAUCAGCUCUGGGCAGGUAGCUAGUAACUGUAUAGUAGUAAGUAUCAGCUCUGGGCAGGUAGCUAGUAACUGUAUAGUAGUAAGUAUCAGCUCUGGGCAGGUAGCUAGUAACUGUAUAGUAAGUAGUAAGUAUCAGCUCUGGGCAGGUAGCUAGUAACUGCAUA